ACUAGUUAAAAUGGAAAUAAAUGAAAUAGAUGUGAUUUGUCACAUCUUCGUCCCCCCUUCAGACAAAAAACAGGUGUCCAUAAAACAAAAGUUAAAGUGGCACCUGUAGAAACAUUUCGAACAUUAAAUAGACAAAACAAACUUUAAACAAUGGAAAACACGCGUCAAGGCGGCUUGUUAUAACUUUUAAGGUGAGAGGCGUGAAAAACUCCUCUUUCGCGGUCGCUAUCCGAGCCUAGCAGAAGGGCUGACGAUAUAUUGUUCGCUUUCAAGAGAACAAGGUCACCAGGAAUGAACUUCCGAUAGGGUCAUUCCGGGUACAUGAUCGCUUUACGCUUAGCCCUGGACUCCAUUGUCUCCCGGGCUAGAACGAGUUUAUCCCCUGCUGGGAGGUUGAUACCAACAGGUGGCACCAGCUGAUCGGGUAGUAGCUUUUCUCGAGGCACCCCAAACUCAAGUUCCUCGGGGGUGAAUCCAGUGGACUCAUGAACGACAGUUUUCAUAAAUUGCUGGAAAAUAGGAAUGAAUCCGGAAGCCUCAAAGAAAAAAUGCUGAAAUAGUUGUCAGAGGGUGAAGGCAAUCGAACACAGGCAUGUCGGGAGAGGGCAUCAGCCACAACAUUUUCGUGACCAGGAACCUGAUAAAUCUUAAAAGAAUACUCCUGAAGCACUAGGGCCCAACGGGUAAUCCUAGGAGAAAGUAACCUACAGGUGUUAAGGUAAGUUAAAGUAAAAAUGUUGUGCCAAUAAAUAGACCCUCCAUCGGGUGAUACACCAAACGGCAACCAAAACUUACUUUUCAUUUGAACUGUAGCGCCUCUCACGAUCCAACAGUAAACGACUUGCCCAAGCAACAGGGUAUUUACGACCGUCCCUCACUUGAAAAAGUUGUCCAGCUAUCCCAUAC